rnacentral:rRNA from 1 species
CCGCACGGGUGAGUAACACGUAUCCAACCUGCCGUCUACUCUUGGACAGCCUUCUGAAAGGAAGAUUAAUACAAGAUGGCAUCAUGAGUCCGCAUGUUCACAUGAUUAAAGGUAUUCCGGUAGACGAUGGGAAUGCGUUCCAUUAGAUAGUAGGCGGGGUAACGGCCCACCUAGUCUUCGAUGGAUAGGGGUUCUGAGAGGAAGGUCCCCCACAUUGGAACUGAGACACGGUCCAA